AAAUAAGAAGCAAUUUGCAUUUAAUUUCGACUUAAAAGAGAGAGUAAAUAUUACUCCUUAUUUA
rnacentral:tRNA from 1 species